rnacentral:rRNA from 1 species
AGAGUUUGAUCCUGGCUCAGGAUGAACGCUGGCGGCGUGCUUAACACAUGCAAGUCGAGCGAAGCACUUAUCAUUGACUCUUCGGGGGAUUUGAUAUUUGACUGAGCGGCGGACGGGUGAGUAACGCGUGGGUAACCUGCCUCGUACAGGGGAAUAACAGUUAGAAAUGGCUGCUAAUGCCGCAUAAGCGCACAGGACCGCAUGGUCUGGUGUGAAAAACUGAGGUGGUAUGAGAUGGACCCGCGUCUGAUUAGGUAGUUGGUGGGGUAACGGCCUACCAAGCCGACGAUCAGUAGCCGGCCUGAGAGGGUGAACGGCCACAUUGGGACUGAGACACGGCCCAGACUCCUACGGGAGGCAGCAGUGGGGAAUAUUGCACAAUGGGGGAAACCCUGAUGCAGCGACGCCGCGUGAGCGAAGAAGUAUUUCGGUAUGUAAAGCUCUAUCAGCAGGGAAGAAAAUGACGGUACCUGACUAAGAAGCCCCGGCUAACUACGUGCCAGCAGCCGCGGUAAUACGUAUGGUGCAAGCGUUAUCCGGAUUUACUGGGUGUAAAGGGAGCGUAGACGGAAUGGCAAGUCUGAUGUGAAAGGCCGGGGCUCAACCCCGGGACUGCAUUGGAAACUGUCAAUCUAGAGUACCGGAGGGGUAAGUGGAAUUCCUAGUGUAGCGGUGAAAUGCGUAGAUAUUAGGAGGAACACCAGUGGCGAAGGCGGCUUACUGGACGGUAACUGACGUUGAGGCUCGAAAGCGUGGGGAGCAAACAAGAUUAGAUACCCUGGUAGUCCACGCCGUAAACGAUGA